GAGAAACGCAAGGCUGUUGCAGAUGAAUAUAUAGAGUGUGAAAUCAUGAUUCUUAUGAUAGAUUUGAUGCUUCACAAGUAAAAGGCUUAUAGACAUCUUCUGUACAAUGUCCUCAAUCAACAAACAUUGAAGUUUGAGGGGCUACACUGGAAAUUGGCCAUUAUUUAUUUUAUUUUCGAUGCUUGUAUUCAUUUGUAUGUAGAAGCAAGGAACUCAUCUUCAUUAGUGUCAACAUGUUGCAAGGUGUUCAUGUAUGUCGUCUUUGGGAACUUCAUGUUUCUUCUGACUUUCUUCAUCAUGGUUAAGAUAUUUCUCAAUGCAUCAAUCAAUAUCUCCAGAUUCAAUGACCUUUUGCUCACAAUCAUGAU